rnacentral:rRNA from 1 species
UCCUACGGGAGGCAGCAGUGGGGAAUAUUGGACAAUGGGCGAAAGCCUGAUCCAGCAAUACCGCGUGUGUGGAGAAGGCCUUCGGGUUGUAAAGCACUUUCAAUUGGGAGGAAAACCUACCGGUCAAUACCCGGUAGCUUGACAUUACCUUUAGAAGAAGCACCGGCUAACUCCGUGCCAGCAGCCGCGGUAAUA